ACCGAGAUUCCCCCAGUAGCGGCGAGCGAACGGGGAGCAGCCCAGAGCCUGAAUCAGUAUGUGUGUUAGUGGAAGCGUCUGGAAAGGCGCGCGAUACAGGGUGACAGCCCCGUACACAAAAAUGCACAUGCUGUGAGCUCGAUGAGUAGGGCGGGACACGUGGUAUCCUGUCUGAAUAUGGGGGGACCAUCCUCCAAGGCUAAAUACUCCUGACUGACCGAUAGUGAACCAGUACCGUGAGGGAAAGGCGAAAAGAACCCCGGCGAGGGGAGUGAAAAAGAACCUGAAACCGUGUACGUACAAGCAGUGGGAGCACAGAGCAAUCUGUGUGACUGCGUACCUUUUGUAUAAUGGGUCAGCGACUUAUAUUCUGUAGCAAGGUUAACCGAAUAGGGGAGCCGAAGGGAAACCGAGUCUUAACUGGGCGUUAAGUUGCAGGGUAUAGACCCGAAACCCGGUGAUCUAGCCAUGGGCAGGUUGAAGGUUGGGUAACACUAACUGGAGGACCGAACCGACUAAUGUUGAAAAAUUAGCGGAUGACUUGUGGCUGGGGGUGAAAGGCCAAUCAAACCGGGAGAUAGCUGGUUCUCCCCGAAAGCUAUUUAGGUAGCGCCUCGUGAAUUCAUCUCCGGGGGUAGAGCACUGUUUCGGCAAGGGGGUCAUCCCGACUUACCAACCCGAUGCAAACUGCGAAUACCGGAGAAUGUUAUCACGGGAGACACACGGCGGGUGCUAACGUCCGUCGUGAAGAGGGAAACAACCCAGACCGCCAGCUAAGGUCCCAAAGUCAUGGUUAAGUGGGAAACGAUGUGGGAAGGCCCAGACAGCCAGGAUGUUGGCUUAGAAGCAGCCAUCAUUUAAAGAAAGCGUAAUAGCUCACUGGUCGAGUCGGCCUGCGCGGAAGAUGUAACGGGGCUAAACCAUGCACCGAAGCUGCGGCAGCGACGCUGAUGCGUUGUUGGGUAGGGGAGCGUUCUGUAAGCCUGUGAAGGUGUGCUGUGAGGCAUGCUGGAGGUAUCAGAAGUGCGAAUGCUGACAUAAGUAACGAUAAAGCGGGUGAAAAGCCCGCUCGCCGGAAGACCAAGGGUUCCUGUCCAACGUUAAUCGGGGCAGGGUGAGUCGACCCCUAAGGCGAGGCCGAAAGGCGUAGUCGAUGGGAAACAGGUUAAUAUUCCUGUACUUGGUGUUACUGCGAAGGGGGGACGGAGAAGGCUAUGUUGGCCGGGCGACGGUUGUCCCGGUUUAAGCGUGUAGGCUGGUUUUCCAGGCAAAUCCGGAAAACUAAGGCUGAGGCGUGAUGACGAGGCACUACGGUGCUGAAGCAACAAAUGCCCUGCUUCCAGGAAAAGCCUCUAAGCAUCAGGUAACAUCAAAUCGUACCCCAAACCGACACAGGUGGUCAGGUAGAGAAUACCAAGGCGCUUGAGAGAACUCGGGUGAAGGAACUAGGCAAAAUGGUGCCGUAACUUCGGGAGAAGGCACGCUGAUAUGUAGGUGAAGUCCCUCGCGGAUGGAGCUGAAAUCAGUCGAAGAUACCAGCUGGCUGCAACUGUUUAUUAAAAACACAGCACUGUGCAAACACGAAAGUGGACGUAUACGGUGUGACGCCUGCCCGGUGCCGGAAGGUUAAUUGAUGGGGUCAGCGCAAGCGAAGCUCUUGAUCGAAGCCCCGGUAAACGGCGGCCGUAACUAUAACGGUCCUAAGGUAGCGAAAUUCCUUGUCGGGUAAGUUCCGACCUGCACGAAUGGCGUAAUGAUGGCCAGGCUGUCUCCACCCGAGACUCAGUGAAAUUGAACUCGCUGUGAAGAUGCAGUGUACCCGCGGCAAGACGGAAAGACCCCGUGAACCUUUACUAUAGCUUGACACUGAACAUUGAGCCUUGAUGUGUAGGAUAGGUGGGAGGCUUUGAAGUGUGGACGCCAGUCUGCAUGGAGCCGACCUUGAAAUACCACCCUUUAAUGUUUGAUGUUCUAACGUUGACCCGUAAUCCGGGUUGCGGACAGUGUCUGGUGGGUAGUUUGACUGGGGCGGUCUCCUCCUAAAGAGUAACGGAGGAGCACGAAGGUUGGCUAAUCCUGGUCGGACAUCAGGAGGUUAGUGCAAUGGCAUAAGCCAGCUUGACUGCGAGCGUGACGGCGCGAGCAGGUGCGAAAGCAGGUCAUAGUGAUCCGGUGGUUCUGAAUGGAAGGGCCAUCGCUCAACGGAUAAAAGGUACUCCGGGGAUAACAGGCUGAUACCGCCCAAGAGUUCAUAUCGACGGCGGUGUUUGGCACCUCGAUGUCGGCUCAUCACAUCCUGGGGCUGAAGUAGGUCCCAAGGGUAUGGCUGUUCGCCAUUUAAAGUGGUACGCGAGCUGGGUUUAGAACGUCGUGAGACAGUUCGGUCCCUAUCUGCCGUGGGCGCUGGAGAACUGAGGGGGGCUGCUCCUAGUACGAGAGGACCGGAGUGGACGCAUCACUGGUGUUCGGGUUGUCAUGCCAAUGGCACUGCCCGGUAGCUAAAUGCGGAAGAGAUAAGUGCUGAAAGCAUCUAAGCACGAAACUUGCCCCGAGAUGAGUUCUCCCUGACUCCUUGAGAGUCCUGAAGGAACGUUGAAG
rnacentral:rRNA from 1 species